rnacentral:rRNA from 1 species
GACGAACGCUGGCGGCGUGCUUAACACAUGCAAGUCGAACGGAAAGGCCCUGCUUUUGUGGGGUGCUCGAGUGGCGAACGGGUGAGUAACACGUGAGUAACCUGCCCUUGACUUUGGGAUAACUUCAGGAAACUGGGGCUAAUACCGGAUAGGAGCUCCGGCUGCAUGGUGGGGGUGGGAAAGUUUCGGCGGUUGGGGAUGGACUCGCGGCUUAUCAGCUUGUGGGUGGGGUAGUGGCUUACCAAGGCUUUGACGGGUAGCCGGCCUGAGAGGGUGACCGGCCACAUUGGGACUGAGAUACGGCCCAGACUCCUACGGGAGGCAGCAGUGGGGAAUAUUGCACAAUGGGCGGAAGCCUGAUGCAGCAACGCCGCGUGCGGGAUGACGGCCUUCGGGUUGUAAACCGCUUUCGCCUGUGACGAAGCGUGAGUGACGGUAAUGGGUAAAGAAGCACCGGCUAACUACGUG